ensembl:lncRNA
GGGAUACCAGGACAACAAACCCAAGCAUAGGAGCCACAUUCUACCCCUGCACCCCUCGAUCCCAGAGCAGCAGGGUGCUGCAUGCCUGUUCUCUGAAUAUCAAAUACCAGAACAUCAGUAGGAAGGAGAGCGUUCAGGAAUAUUCCCUGUUCCUGUGGUGUCCAGCAAGAGCUUCGAUGCAUUUGCAAGAGCCCAGCUCACUCCUCCAGAAGUGUUGUGGUUUCCAGCCAGCUCUGCUUAUGGUCAUCAGCCUCGGUUUGCCAAGGGGAGCAUCCCUGCCAGCAGCUGCAGGCAGCAGGGCAAGUGCCGAGCAGUGCCCAGGGCUGGUGGCUCGGCAUCUGGCUUCUGUGAAAGAUGUAAUUAGCAGCAAUCAUCACACAUGAGCAGCAGUACACUCGAGAACUGGGUGAGUAUGAACGCUGGGCAAGGGGAUGUCUGCCUUCAAGUGAGAGAAGCAAUAGCAAAAUGGAGAUGAAUGCAAGAAGUGCUGUCAAAGGAGAGCCUGAGGCCGCAGGCAGAGCUGGGGGGGUUCAAUGCAUGGCAUUGAGCUGUUUUUUCAAAGAGUUUAAAUAAUGUACCAGCAGCCUGGCAGGGAAGCAGGACUGCAUUUUGGCAAAUCCCCUCCCAUGUACCUCCCCUGGCCACAGCCAGCAGGCUUUGCCUGAUGCCCUCACAAAGGCUUCCCAGAGAGCACAUUUAACUUUUAUUUUUUUAUGGUGUCUGACAGUUUAUUUUUAAUUAAGGCUGCGCUGGAGCAGGAAGGGGAAGGGUUGCUGUGUGCCCAGCAGAUGCUCGUGGUUGUGCCAGCCCCAGGCUGGGGAGGGGGCUGCAGGGCGGGAUGGCCGCUGGGGCGCAGCCACACUGCUGGCGGUUCCUUAUCAGAGUGGCACCUGUCAUAAGUCAAUGUUCUAAGAAACAAGAAGCGAAGAAACUCUCACAGGCUCCACUGCCCCCAAGACAUCACACCUGACAAGUCAUUAAAACCCAUCUUUUACGCUUACAAAUUACAACGCACGUGGCAUCCCUCUGGAGAACGUAGAAGUGAAGAGCGGCAGAGGUGGCAGCCCCACUGAGCAGCCCCAUGGGUGCCACACCGGCCAUUACGUGUCCCCGCUCCCACACGGCCCCAGUCCAACCAGCAGCAGCGGGGAAGCCCAGCGGGCCCAGAUCCCCACACAGGACUGCUGGAGCCGAGCUGCUCCUGCUAAGGCCAACCCAGAGAUCCUGUCUUGGGUGGACGACACGUGUCGGGGCUUCAGAGCAAAGCCCUCUCGUGCGCCAGGGAAACCCAGCCCUGCACCUGCAGACGGCUCCCGCGGGGCGAACAGCGGGUGCUGCCGGGCUGUCUGCGAUCAGACACACAGAACAGCCGCGAUCCCUCCCGGAGUGCGCGGCCCCAGAGCUGCACGAAAGCCCCAUGUGGGGGCGGCUGUGCGCGCUCGGGGCUGCAGCAGCAGCAGCAGCAGCAGAGCGGGCGGCCGCGGGCGGGGCACCUCAGGGCCCAACUGCUCCACGAACGACGCUCAGCACUUCGCCGAGGGCAGCCAGCACUCCGCCUAAGCCGGGUGUUUCGCACUUAGAAAGACACCCGCACGUGCAGCUGCGAUGGGAAAGAAGCCUUUUCUAGCAGGCUAGGGGGUACAGCGGGCGGCGCGUCCUGCAGCCGCACCGCAGGACAAAGGCUCCACUGGGCCGCGGCACCUCUCGCCCUUCCCGCUCCGUCCCUCCACUGCAGCCGAGCGCCACCUAGGGGCAGCCCGCCGCUCUGCUCCCACAGCCGUCCGCCGCCGCCCGGAGCCGCGACCGCUCGGGGUGACGGCGGGCUUUGCUCUGGCGGGAAGAGAAUGGCGUUUCAGGUUUCCCGGCUCCGGCUCUUCUCACAGCGCACAGCGCGCUGCCGCGGGAACGUCUCGCGCCUGUCGCAGCCCGGCGGCUCUCAGCCAACCAACCGGCAGCGCACCGCCUGCUUUCUGAAGUGCAGAGGAGUUUCUUCAGGGUCCCCGCGAGCGCGGCUCCCUCGCUGCGCCGCCGGCUGUGCUUCGCUGUCGGUCUGUUUGUGGCCUCCGCCGAGAGUCCCGCCCUCCCGCAGCACCAUCGGCACCGUUUGGGUGGCGAAUGAGACGUGCCCCUCACUCAGCUGUUUACGAAGCACGAAAUAGUCGUUUUCUAAAGCAUCAAUAUUUAGGAAAGUCAGCAGCCGGCUCCCUUCUGCUUCCGGCGGUCAGCGGGAACAGUUCUGCUCAGCUCCAGGCUGAGAUGCCGUUGCAAAACCAAACGAUGCUGCUAAAUGCAGUGCUUUGGUUGAACCUCCAUGGAGCAGAUGUUGCUUCCCGUGAGUCAAGAGGGGAACCAGAUGGGCUACUUUCCAAAAUGCAUCCCUGCCUGAGCAUCUUCCCAGGGACACCUCCUCUCCUGCACUAAUGGCUGCAGGAAAAGCAACACGAGGAACUUCAGCUCUCCAACAACCCUUUUGGGCUUCAAAUCCCCCAUAAUUAAAAAAAUAC